rnacentral:misc_RNA from 1 species
GUGAAUCUUCAAAAGUCGGCUUGUCGGAUUGUGCUGGUGGAGACACAUGUGCACGUCUUGCGAGUCGCAAACCCACACACCUGUGCAUCUAUGACUCUGAGUGCCGCUUUGCAUGGCCUUGACCGGCCUGGCGCUCGAGUACUUUUUAACACACUCUCGAAUGUAAAGGAAUGUCUUGUUGUGCGUAAUGUACAAAUUGAAA